rnacentral:rRNA from 1 species
CCUACGGGAUGCAGCAGUGAGGAAUAUUGGACAAUGGGUGAGAGCCUGAUCCAGCCAUCCCGCGUGAAGGAUGACGGUCCUAUGGGUUGUAAACUUCUUUUGUAUAGGGAUAAACCUAGAUACGUGUAUCUAGCUGAAGGUACUAUACGAAUAAGCACCGGCUAACUCCGUGCCAGCAGCCGCGGUAAUACGGAGGGUGCAAGCGUUAUCCGGAUUUAUUGGGUUUAAAGGGUCCGUAGGCGGGCCCGUAAGUCAGUGGUGAAAUCUCAUAGCUUAACUAUGAAACUGCCAUUGAUACUGCGGGUCUUGAGUAAAUUUGAAGUGGCUGGAAUAAGUAGUGUAGCGGUGAAAUGCAUAGAUAUUACUUAGAACACCAAUUGCGAAGGCAGGUCACUAAGAUUUAACUGACGCUGAUGGACGAAAGCGUGGGUAGCGAACAGGAUUAGAUACCCCAGUAGUC